UACAGAGGUGGCAAGCGUUGUUCGGAAUUACUGGGCGUAAAGGGCGAGUAGGCGGCCUUCUAAGUCAGACGUGAAAUCCCCCGGCUUAACCUGGGAACUGCGUCUGAUACUGGGAGGCUCGAGUAUGGGAGAGGGAUGUAGAAUUCCAGGUGUAGCGGUGAAAUGCGUAGAUAUCAGGAGGAAUACCGAUGGCGAAGGCAGGUCUCUGGGCUGACACUGACGCUCAUGCACGAAAGCGUGGGGAGCAAACAGG
rnacentral:rRNA from 1 species